GUAGAAUACAGGAAGGUAGAAUACAGGAAGACAGAAUACAGGAAGACAGAAUACAGGAAGACAGAAUACAGGAAGAUAGAAUACAGGAAGAUAGAAUACAGGAAGAUAGAAUACAGGAAGGUAGAAUACAGGAAGAUAGAAUACAGGAAGGUAGAAUACAGGAGGGUAGUAAACAGGUGGACAGAAUACAGGAGGGUAGUAUAUAGAAGGACAGAAUACAGGAGGGUAGUAUACAGUAGGACAGAAUACAGGAGGGUAGUAUAUAGUAGGACAGAAUACAGGAGGGUAGUAUAUAGUAGGACAGAAUACAGGAGGGUAGUAUAUAGUAGGACAGAAUACAGGAGGGUAGAAUCCAGGAGUGAUGAAUAGUGCCAACUAUAAAGUUUGGUGGAUGAGGAAUAAUGGUCUGGGGCUGUUUUUCAUGGUUCGCACUCCUUAGUUCCAGUGAAGGGAAAGCUUAACGCUGCAGCAUACAAUGACAUUCUAGAAGAUUCUGUACUUCCAACUUUGUGGCAACUGUUCGGGGAAGCCCUUUCUUGUUUCAGCAUGACAAAACGAGGUCCAUACAGAAAUGGUUUGCUGAGAUCAGUGUGGAAGAACUUGACUGGCCUGCAGAAAGCCCUGACCUCAACCCCAUCAAACACCUUUGGGAUUAAUUGGAACACCGACUGCGAGCCAGACACAAUCGCCCAACAUCAGUGCCCGACCUCAUUAAUGCUUGUGGCUGAAUGGAAGCAAGUCCCCGCAGCAAUGUUCCAACAUCUAGUGGAAAGCCUUCCCAGAAGAGUGGAGGCUGUUAUAGCAGCAAUGUUCCAACAUCUAGUGGAAAGCCUUCCCAGAAGAGUGGAGGCUGUUAUAGCAGCAAUGUUCCAACAUCUAGUGGAAAGCCUUCCCAGAAGAGUGGAGGCUGUUAUAGCAGCAAAGGGGGAACCAAGUCCAUAUUAAUGAGAUGUUGAGGU
ensembl:lncRNA